CCGGUACAAUGCGAAGCGAAGCAGUGAUGUGAAGCAAAUCGCACCAAAGCCGGUCCCAGUUCGGAUAAGAGGCUGAAACUCGCCUCUUUGAAGUCGGAAUCGCUAGUAAUCGCAGAUCAGCAUGUUGCGGUGAAUACGUUCCCGGGUCUUGUACACACCGCCCGUCAAACCAUGAGAGCCACCAACACCCGAAGUCCGCUUUGGCGGCCUAAGGUGGGGGAGAUGAUUGGGGUUAAGUCGUAACAAGGUAUC
rnacentral:rRNA from 1 species